rnacentral:lncRNA from 1 species
UAUUUUCGUUUUAUUUUAUUUAUAAAUAAAAUAACGAUAUUUUCAUUAUAUUUAAAUUUCCAUUUAUAGGUUGAUGAUAUAGUGGAGAAUGCGAUAGCUCGUCAAAUGAAACUUUUCAAACAAUAUACUAGCGCUCUUCAAACUCAAAAUCCGAAUAUGCACAUACCGGAUUUUCCAUCAUCUCCUCCUCCUCAACAAACGAUUGAACCAGAGGAGCAGACUCGUGGACGAUCAAUCAACAUUUUCUCAAGAAAUGAGAUAUCAAAGUUAGUAUUUAAAAACACUUCUUCAAAAAAGAAAAAGAAGGACAAUUAACAAAAUAGAGAUUAAGAUAGUUAACGACUUAAUUUUUCAAAAAACUUUUUAUUUUAUUUUGUCGCAACUUAUUUUAAAUAUUAUCGACUAAUUCAAUCUCAAUUAAAAUUUCAUUAUCAAUUUCAAUUUUAUUUUUAUUUUCAUUUAAUAUAAUUUCUAAUAAUUAAUUAAUUUAAUUUAAUAAAUAAAAAAUAAAAAAAUUAUUUAAAUAAAUAAUUAAUAGGUCCCGACGGCCUGGUCGUCAGAAAUUGAAAUUUAUACCAGCAGUUUACUAGCGGCCAAGCCGCUGGCAAUUUCAAUCAAUAAUCGGAUUCCAAAAUAUAUAGCCAGCGGCCUGGCCACCAGGAAAUGACCAAGUUUGCGACAUUAGUUCUGGCGAUGGCAUACCAGCGGCCUAGCCGCCAGGACACAAUAUACUGCUGGAUCAUGAUCCGAGGCUAUAAGGGGGGAUAAUAGCCUCUUUUCGAUUUAUACAGGUUGAUUGCGGAAUUACCUGUAAACACUUAAUAAACAAAUGGUUGACAAUAAUGAUAUAGAGAUAUUAUAACUUUGAUUGAUAUAAUAACGUAAUUAUUACUUUUCGAAGUUUACCACAGUAUAUGAAUACUGAGUCAACUUGCUUGAUAGUGUUUUACAAACAUCUAUAGUAUAUGGGUACUAAGUUAUAUUGUAAACACAAGUUGUAUUGUAGAGCAAAUGACCAGAUAACUGGAUAUAUUGAUAAGCAAGUAAAUGACCAGAUAACUGGAUAUAUUGAUAAGCAAGUAAAUGACCAGAUAAUUGGAUAUAUAUGAUAAGUAAAUGCUUGAACAAAUGAAUAAGGAUUUAAAGCAAUGAAUAUAACCUCAUAUAGUUGACCAGAUAACUGGAUGAGAGAUCAGCGUAAAGUAGUCAACCUCUGUAUUUGACCAGAUAACUGGAAGAGCGAUCAUUUUCAAUUAAGUGUUGUUUUAGUUGUUUUUAGAUGAAAGAUAAAAACUAGAGUUAACAAAGAACAACACAAGAGAUUUAUACUGGUUCACCCAAACAAGGGCUAGUCCAGUCCCGACCAGCUGUCGGAAUUCACUCGCUUAAAGGUUAUGGCAAAAUCUUAGAGUAUCAAGGAAACUCUUAAGAACCUCUUUAAACUUUAAGGCUACUUCGCUUAGGAACCAGUCUUUUACGGGUAGACUCACACCUUAGAGUAUCAAGGACACUCUUAAGAACCUCUAACUUUUACGGGUAAGUUAGUACCUUAGAGUAUCAAGGAACUCUUAAAAUCUAAAAAUCUUUCAAGGUAGAUUCGACCUGAGAGUUUUUCCGGAAACUCUAUAAAACCAAACUAGAGCUUUAUGGUUGAGCUCGAAAACCUUCUCUCACACUUUGGUACUAUUGAGACAACCCUCUCAACCAAAGUAGACACACACAAGAGGUGAUUAGAGGAGUGGAAUAUUAAAGCAAACAACACUUCUUACUUGUAAAGAUGAACAAGAAAAUUAGAAGAAGAAGUUGGAAAGCUUUUGAAGCUUUGGAAAGCUAGGACACUUGAGCACUUGAAAGCUUGGAAGCUUGGAGGCAAAAACGUGUGGGCAAGUGUGGAGUGAAAUCUCUUGAGUUUGCUUGUAGUGUGAUAAGUGAAAAUGAGGGGUUUACCCUUCUAUUUAUAACCUUGGCCACUCAAUGUCCACCCUUGGAUCUUCAAUGGAUGGCUCCUUGAUUUCUCACAAAAAUCCAAGCUUUGUCUUUGAUCUUAUCUUGAAUAGUGCUUUUCUUGAAUAGAGUUUGUUGGAGAAUCUUAUCUUUAUAUAAAUUCAAACUUGAAUAGUGUUUUGUCCCUUUGGAAUAUUAUACCUUGAAUAAAGUGUCAAAAGAUAAUAAUAAUAAUAUUCAAGGUAAAAAUGCAAUUAUUCCAAAUAAUAAUAUUCAAGGUAAAAAUGCAAUUCUCCCAAUUUGACUUUUAACUUUGACUUAAAUCCUUAACUCAAAUGAUUAAUUAAUUAACUGGAGUUAGGUUUAAUAUCGAUUGACUUAUUUAACCAAUAUUGAUUAAUAGUGUAAUUAGGGUUUAAAUUGACAUGAUUAAAAUAUAAUCCUAUGUCGACAAUUUUGAUUCUACAUAUACCGACAGCCAAGCCGCCAGAAUUGGCCGCCAAAGUAGAUAUCUAGCUAUUGACAUGGUAGCCAAAGUAGAAUUAGCAUGGUUUUUUGUAGUGAUAUCUAGCUAUUUAAAAUAAUAAAUAUUUGUAUCUUACAAAGUUUUCAUAGUAAUUUCUAGAAUAAAAGCAGACUUGGGGAUAAAUUGACAACAUGGUGAUUGGUGAGACAUGCCUGAUUACGUCAGUCACUCUCAGAAACGCCCUUCAACAAGGACUAGGGUUCUGUCGCUUUAUGCCAGACCCUCGGAGAGCUCCACGGUUGCGGGCAAGUGUCUACGUCAAGUACUCAAGUCAACACUGGGAAUCGACGACUGGGACUACCAAGUCGCCGACUCCAGAGGUGAGCCAUCGAUUCCAGGCCUGGUUGACCAAUUCUGGUAGACUGCCAAUCUGGCUCAUGGGGAAUCGAUGGCUCCACCCUGAGUCGUCGACUCCCAGUCGUUACUUGACUUGGCCCGCGUCAUUAUGACACCUUCAAUAGGGCACCAUAAUGGCGUGGGCCCCAGGAACAAUGAAUGAGAAACGCCCUAAGGACCCUAUAAAAGGGGCCCUUGGGAGUCCUCAUUCAUCAUCUCAUAUCCUUCACAAUCAUUUGACACACACUCCAACCAGAGCACAUCUAGGAGCCCGAAUCGUCGACUCCCUUGCUGAGUCACCGAUUCCCCUCCUCUCUGCAGGUACAUUGACGUAGAGCGCGCGUCGUGGACUCUAAAGCCUCCGGCUCAUCUCGCAACCCCACGAGCCCUUGGUAGCAGAUUACAUGUUUCAUCAGUGAUUCGGGAUAGGAUCCUAAUUGAUUCUAUGACAUAUUAAUGAUUGAUAACUAUCGUUGAUCAAAAUUCCAAAAAAUAGUUUAUUUUUUGUUUCACGUUCAUUGUAUUUUCAACGCAUUUUGUGAAGUUAGUCGAAUAUAUCAUUUUUUUGUAAUGUUUGUCCCAAGGGAUUUCAAGAUAAGUCAAGGUUUACUGAUGAUUGUUUGCUUCAUAAGGCACCAAGAGCCUGAUAUUUGAGGAUACACAAGCAUAUGGUAAGGAAUAAAUUUACCAAUUCUAAUGCAGAUGCUUCACUAUUUUUAAAAAUAUCAGAAAAAACUAGAGUAUUAGUCUUGAUGUAUGUUGAUGACAUAGUAGUAACUGGUAAUGAUGAAAAUGAAAUUACUAAGUUUAUUCAAGUCGGAUGCAAAGAAUUUCAGUGCAAGACAUGAGAUCUAUGAGCUGUUUUUUUGGGGAUAUGUACAAUGUGUGUAUCAUAGGGAGAACAUGUUGAUCUCUCAAGAAGGCUACACAAAAGAACUAUUGAAGAAGUGUGGAUAUAAAGAGUGUAAUCCAAUUUGAACUUCAAUGGUACAAUCCCCGACCAAAACUACAACAUGAGAUGGGAUCGAGAAGAUUUGGAGGAUAUGACUAUGUACAAAAGAAUGGUGCGAAACCUAUAGUAUCUUACCCUCACCAUACUUGAUUUAUCUUUCCCAAUAAAUCUAGUAUGCCAAUAUUUAUAAAAACCUAAAACUGGUCAUCUAAAUAUUGUUAGGAGAAUUUUCCAAGUACCUACAAGGAAUCAAUGAUUAGGGAUUGAGAAUUACAAAUGGGUCAGAUGAUUUGAAUGAAUUAAUAACACACAGGCUCAGAUUGGGGAGGAACACUUUAUAGACACAAUUGGGUCAAGCAUAUGGUAUAAAGACAAUUUACUAUCAUGGAGUGCUAAAAAACUACCAUCUAUUGCAAAUACAAAGACAGAAUUCAAAGAAUUGGCACAUGUAUAAUAUCUUGGAACCUCUACCUCACGUGAACCUCUACCUCAACAUCUUGAAACCGCAGAUCACCGAUAAUGGGCUGUUGUGUCGGGCAUUCUCCGACACUCUCAAAGGCAGCGCUUAUCGGUGGUUCUCUAGUCUGCCAGUUGGCUCUGUCACCAGCUUUGCAGACCUUUCUUCGAAAUUCAUCGUCCAACAUGUGGGGAUGAUCAGAAUCAAACACAGUGCCAACGCAUUAUUGGCACUACGACAGGAUAAGCUAUCUCUUCGGGAUUACACAAUCAAAUUCACUUCGAUGAUGACAAAAGUAAACGAUUUAAUCCCAAGUCUGACCAUAGCGGGGUACAUCAGAGGAUUGACACCUUUCUCCCCAUUGGCCCAGAAUCUGAAGCUCCAUAAGGUGGAGACCUUGCCCGACCUUUUCCAUCGAGCUCAAUUAUACAUUGAGAUAGAAGAAGAGGAUGAAAAUAAGCUAGCGGAACUUAGGACCCCUAGCUUUAAAAAACCAAAGUUUGAGAGGAAGGGGUAUACUGGAAAAAGCAAUUUCAAUGGCACCCCUAGUAGGUACACUGACAACAAGGUUGAAACUUUCAGAAAAGAGUGGAAGCCGAAACACGACAAUAAGGUGUAUCAGACCUCAAUGAAGCAGUCGCCAAAGGGUGCACCUCAAUAAUGGAGGGACUUCACCCCGCUAACCAUCAGCAAGGGCGAACUGUUUGAAAAGUUAAAGAGCCGAGCGGAUCUGCCCGCUCCUCGCUUUUUAGACCCUGCAACCAAGGAUAGCCGUAAGAAAGGUGGAAAAUACUGCAAAUUCCACAAAGACCACGACCACCUAACAAACCAUUGCAGGGAAUUCUCGGACUUUGUCGAGCAACUGAUCUUAAAGGGAGAACUUGGAAACUUCGUCAAGGGACCCCGAGGACGGGACACUUGCAAACCUGACCCGAAGGGGAUGCGUCCACGUUCUCCUUCGCCAGAUAGCGACAGCAGCGAGGAUCGCCAACGGAAAACCAUCAAUAUGAUAUAUGGUGGUGGUUCCGUUGGUCUGAACAGAGGGUAUGCUCGGAAGGUGCUGACGUCGCAAUCAACACCUCGAGACAACGGAAAACGGAUCCGCGAGGAGAAGUCUGUAUGCUUCUCCGAAGAGGAUCUGGACGAUGUUCUGCAACCUCACGAGGAUCCACUCGUGAUCCAAGCAGACAUCGGUCCCGAUUCCCGAGUCGAGAGGAUGAUUGUCGAUAGUGGCAGUUCCGCGGACAUCCUCUAUAUGGACACUUUCACCAAGAUGGGUCUUAAAAGGGAGGAGUUGUCUCCCUGCAAGGAAGCCAUCUAUGGUUUCACUAACAUCGCUGCCCCAGUGGCCGGUGUUAUUGAUUUGAAAGUCUCCAUCGGUUCCAGGCAAGGGAGGGUCAGUCGUGUUGGAUCGAGAUCCGAGGCUAUAAGAGGGGAUAAUAGUCUCUUUUCGAUUUAUGAAAGUUAAUAGCGGAAUUACCUGCACACACUUAAGUACACAAAUGGUUGUAUAAUAAUAAUAGUAUAUAUAAUAUUGUUAGCAAUACAAUACUAUUAUAUAAUUUUAAAAAAUAUAAUAUUAUAUCUUAUAAUAUUAUAUAUUGGACUUUCCUUUUGCUCUUGAAGUUUACUACAGUAUAUGAAUACGUAGUCACUUUUCAGAUGGUGUUUUAUAAACAACUAUAGUAUAUGAAUACUAAGUUAUAUUAUAAACACAAGUUAUAUUAUAGAGUAAAUGACCAGAUAACUGGAUAUAUUGAUAAACAAGUAAAUGACCAGAUAACUGGAUAUAUUGAUAAACAAGUAAAUGACCAGAUAAUUGGAUAUAUAUAUGAUAAGUAAAUGCUUGAACAAAUAUAUGAAUAAAGAUUUAAAGCAAUGAAUAUAACCUCAAAUAGUUGACCAGAUAACUGGAUGAGGGAUCUGCGUAAAAUAGUCAACCUCUGUAUUUGACCAGAUAACUGAAAGAGGGAUCCUUUUCAAUUAAGUGUUGUUUAGUUGUUUUUAGAUGAAAGAUAAAAACUAGAGUUAACAAACAAGAGAUUUAUACUGGUUCACCCAAACAAGGGCUAGUCCAGUCCCGACCAACUGUCGGAAUUCACUGGCCUAAAGGUUAUGGCAAAACCUUAGAGUAUCAAGGAAACUCUUAAGAACCUCUCUAAGCUUUAAGGCUACUUCGCUUAGGAACCAGUCUUUUACGGGUAGACUCACACCUUAGAGUAUCAAGGGCACUCUUAAGAACCUCUAACUUUUGCGGGUAAGUUAGU